UCAUUUGUAACACUUCGCAAACAAACACAUGGCCUCCGAUUUACUCUCAGUUCCCUCUCCACUCACUCUUAUUGCUUCUACAAGAUCCUCAAUCAUGGAGUCAACUCUCCGCCGCCGAUUCACCGCAAGUUUCAUCUCAGCCCUAAACACCAAUGCAUCGGCGCACAAUGUCGGAUUCAGAAACUUCGCCGCCGGAAGAGAGAGAGCGGAAUUGAGGGAUCUGAUGGCAGCGGCGCGGUAACUCGCGAUGUAAAGGGCUCGGGCCCGAAGAAUGUGGACGAAAGGAUCCUUGGGGGUGAUAGAGAGGGCUUGAUUUGCUUCUGAGAGAGCGUUUUUGGUAUCAAUGGAGAUGAUGAAAAUGAUGAUGAAUUAUUUCAAGAUGACAAUGAAGGCAAUGAAUUUGAAGAGGACGACAUAGAUGAUAAGUUUGAAGAUGACGGUGUAGAUGAUAAAUAUGAAGAAGACACACUUGAAUGCUUUAGAUGAUGAUUUUAGAUUAUGGUUUCUUGAAUGAUUUAGAUGAUGAUUUAGAUUAUGAUUUCUUGAAUGAUGUUUUUUUUAUUAGGCAUGUACUUGAUUGAAGCAUCAAAACUUCAACAAACUAUAUAUUUUGCUAGACUUGUAUUAAGUAUCAAACUUUAUUAAAUUAUGUUAGACAAUUUGUUUACAACCA